rnacentral:lncRNA from 1 species
CUUUUCAUUAAAUUUCUGUGUAAAAUCUAUUCUUAAUAAGAGAUUUUGUUUGUUUUCCAAACAUACUAUAUAGUAUGAUCUUUUGCAAUCGAAAUGGAUAAGGAAGAAACGAGUGAGGGCUGGUGAUGGUCUUAUAACCACUACAGAAACUCUGUGUUUAGUGCUGUAUCUUGUCUUCAUUCUCAUGUUGAUUAAUUACUAGAUGUUGUCAGUCAUGUCUCCAAUGAAAACAGGAGUGAUAGGGCUUUCUGAGUCAGUUGAUGAAUGAAUCAUACUAAUUUUUAGCAGUUUUUUCAUAUAAUUUUGUCUCCAUCUUUUCAGUAUGUUGACCAAGUUCUUCUAGGUGGUAAAGUUUGUGUUCCAGGUAUAUUGGUAAUGUAAAUUGAUAUUGUAUGACUGGUUAUAUCUACAUAUUAAUACUAAAUUAUGAAUGUAUAAUUGAUGUGAAAUAAAACACAUCCCUGAUAUUGAACACAGCUUGGUUCUUUUUUUUUUUUUAAUAUAUCGCCUCCAGAGAUAUGGGGCUUUAAUGUUUUGUUUAUUUGUUCGGUUUGGUUUGGAUUUAUUGAAAAUAGACUCUUAAGCUGGGCGUGGUGGCACAUGCCUUUAAUCCCAGCACUCGGGAGGCAGAGGCAAGCGGAUUUCUGAGUUCGAGGCCAGCCUGGUCUACAAAGUGAGUUCCAGGACAGCCAGGGCUACACAGAGAAACCCUGUCUCAAAAAAACCAAAAAAAAAAAAAAAAGAUUCUUCUCUCAUAUAUUACAUCCCAAUCAGAGAUUCCUCUCCCUCCACUUCCCUGAGCUCCCACCCACAAUCCAUUUCCCCCUCUCUCCCUUCAGAAAAGAGCAGGCCUCACAAGAAACAACCAAACAUAGCAAAACACAAGACAAGGGAAAGGCCCUCACAUGGAAGUUGGACAGUGUAGCCCAACAAGAGGAAGAGUCUCAGAUGGCACAUGCCCCUACUCUUAGGGCCUGACAAAAGCAGCAAGCUAACAGCAGCCAACAGCAGACAUAACACACAGAGGACCUGGUAUAGACACCUGCAGGCCCCAUCACUGCUUCAGUCUCUCUCAGCCCAUAUGUGCCCUGCAUUGUUAAUUCAGUGGGCCCUCCUUGUGUCCUCCAUCCUCUGAUUCCUACAGUCUGCCCCCUCUUCUGCACAAUAGCAGAAACCAAUGGAGACCUCAAAUUUAGGAGCUCUGUCUGUAUAAUGUCUAGCUGUGGGUCUCUCUCCACUCCCACCUGGUGCUGAAGACACAGCUGAUCAAAGCACCUGUAUGUGGUUAUAGCGGAGUAUCAUUAGGAAUCAUUUU